GGGAAGGAAGCCGGCCCGCCGCCGCUGCGGAGCUCGAGCUCGAGCCAGGCCGCCGCGUCGAAUCGAAGGAGAUGCCACGCCCGCCGCGCCACUGCUUGGAUUGCCGUCGGGGCCCGCCGGCGUGGCCCAGGCGGUGCUCGCCAUCGCCCGGGGAGAGAGGGAGGGGCCGGUGAUGCGGUGGUGCGCUAGGUGGCGGAGCUCUGCGGACGAGGGGGAAGGGCGCGGCGGGCACUGAAGUUCCGGCGACCAACGGCCGGCGGCUGGCCAAGCCCCUCCUCCCCGCGGCCCGCACCUCGCGGCCGCUGGCCGAGGCCACCCUCCGGCGACUCCCCUACCUGCUGCUUCUUGCCCCGCCAUAGCAGCCCGCUAGAGAAGCCUCUUUGUCAGACCACCGCCGGAGCACCACUCCAGCGCUGCCACCCACUCCGCCCUCUUCCUGUUCCUCCGUUCCCUGCCUCUCCACCUCCAACCCAUUCCAAUUCCAAGAACAGGGCAGCAGAGGAGAAGACAGCCCAACUUAACCAGGUGAGCCGCAUCUUGAAUCACUCAUCCAUGCUAGCUUCUUUUGCUGCUGCCAGUUGGUCUUCUUCUGCUUGGUUCUUGAAUCCAUCAGGCUUCCCUUUUCCUCUUCCUCCCUUCCCAGCAUCAUCUAUUGCUGGAGAAGCUGCACGUUCACGCUUCCAAAUAGAUGAUGCCCAGCCCGCCCACCAGUCGCUCGACGAAAUGCUUCCCAAGGCAAGGUGUUGCCUGGACAACGUUUUCAGGAGUUGUAAUUGAGUAACACUUGCAAAGCUAAUUUAGCAAUUGAUGUACACAGACAGCCAGUACUUACUGCAGUUCAUGUAUUCAUGAAUUCAUGACUACACAAAGAUGAUAAAAUGUGCAUACUGCAUAUCCAUAGCAUCUGUAUCAUAUCUUAUAUUCUAACCAUGAAUCAAAUUUGAUUCUUCAAUUUAUUUGCAACUGAGAUGUUACAAAUAAAUUAGGAUGUGUUAAUUGCAUAACAACGUGUGCACAAACCCAUAAUAUACUCUUACAGAUAUGUCGAUCUCCAUUGCUUGAUUUUGAGUGCUACUUAUUUUGCUGUUUGCACAAAGUUAAAACUGAAUAUUUCUGAACCUCAAUAUUACUGUGCAUUUUUCUCCAAAUUCUUCCACUGAACUUCAAAAUAUCAAAAAAAACAACAAUAUUGUAUAUGUUACAGUUAUAUACAACUUUUGUUAAAACCCACCCCAGUUAUCUAUAUGCCAUAAGCAAUAAUUCACAAUUCUGUUUGGCCCCAAAGUUGUCAUUUUUCAUUGAAUCCAGGCAGAAUUGAGAGUUCAGUGUGCCUUCUCUAUCUGACCUUCUUUAUCUGACUGACGUUGGAAUUCCAUCUUAAAUAGUUGCUAACUGUCUUCAGUAUAACAAAUAACAUAUUUUUACAGCACAAUCAUACAUCUAUACAAUUUGCUCUUAAAAACAUGGGUUCUUGCAGUUGUCGAAGCCUUCAGUUCAUUUUUGUUGGGAUGAAGAAGCUAAAAAUUAAAGAAUGAUCAAAGGACUACACAGCUAGCAGCAAGCAAACCAAACAGAAGAAUAUUUUAUUGUACAGAACAUGUCAAUAUGGAUCGUGCUUCUACUUAUAAUUUUGGAUACAACUUUGGCUACACAGCUAGCAGCAAACAAACCAAACGGAAGGAUAUUUUGUUGUACAGGAAAUGCCAAUAUGGAUCGUGCUUCUGCUUAUAAUUUUGGAUAUAACUUUGGCUAACUGAUGCUUUUGCUUUUGGGAUACAUCUACGUCAGCCCAGAACAUUUGAAGCCACCAUAAAAUAACACAUAGAUGAUGAAAUGACAUAUUAUGAGAUAUCUACCUUUUGGGAACAAAGAUUAAGUUUGCUGCUUCCGCUGAGCAGUACUGUUUUAGUUUAUGUAACAUCAAGGUUGUAAGCAACAUAGCAUGCUGAUUUCAAUGCCU